CGUCUCUUCCACCAAGUGAGUCACAGGAAGGGCUGCGAACAUCCCUCUGGGAAAAGAGGCCGCGUAUCCCACCUUCUGGAAGCAGCCCUCCCUCCCGCUGCAUUCCGGGGCUGGGCCCCAGGUCAGCUGGCGGCAGACAGGGAGUCGUCGGGUCGGGCGGGGCUGUAGGGGCUGGUGGGGGGGCUGCCACGUGCUCCCGGGCCCUGGCCUCCCCAAGGCCCCGCGGGGGACCGUAUCCUGCCGUUUGUAAACCUCAGAGGCCAACAAACAUCCCUGGCAGGAGCCAGACUGGGGCACAGACAUCUGGAAGACGUUAGCCUACUCCCAGGAGGGUAACUGGAAGGCUGAGUGAGCCAGUCUCCGCUCACGGCCCCGGCGGUGGGAACACUGUGACACAGACACGGGUCCGAGGGCGCCCAGGAGGGGACAUCCCCACGGGAGGGGCGGCAGGGGCCUGGCGGGAACCAUCACAGUCACGGCCAGCACGAUGGGGAGAAGGCAGAUCCGCUUGGGUCUGCGAGGAGACAUAGAGGGGCUGGGCAGGCUGUUCCAGAACUUUCCAUGCAGCGCACCCAGACCUUCUCCCCAGACCUCGGGCUUCACUUCCUCACUGGCCCACGCCCUGCCCACGCGGGGAGCUUCCCGGUGACGUGGCUUCGUCUGGAUGCUCCCAGCCCCUCCCCUCCCACCUCCGCCUGCCCUGCAGGGCUCGUGGAAACACUCCAGUCUCCUAAGUGGGUCAGGGACACUUACGGGCUCUCUGAGCCCCGGGCAAGAGCCCAUGUCCUGGAUGCCAGCCUGGGCGGGCAGGGCGUCUGGCCGUUCGGGGCCUCCGGUACACGGUGGAACGAAACGGAUGCGGUGAACGAAUGGAUGGACCCUGGGGACCCCAGUAAAGGGUUUUUCACGACUCCACGUUUUCUGCUGUGGGGAAUGUGCUCAGAGGCACGUGGAGGGCAGAGUUCCCAGCUUUCCUUCUAUUUCUGAUGUUUCGAGGGAAAAGGAAGUAGAAAAACGAGCAGAAGCUACCUGUCAAGCGUGGAACAUGCUUCACAGCUCUUUGGCUUUUCUUCAAUUUCAGAGGCUCGCUCUCUGGGUUGGCAGAGCUGCCCUGGGGGCUGGGCUCAGCCUGGGGUAGGGGCUGCCGGGCCCUGUGUGGCUCCAAAGAACUCUUUCCUGAGGUUCCGGUACCCACUGUGCCCUGGGAACUGGUCCAGGAUUCUGCCUGCCCAGGUGUCCUUCAAGAGUGCAGGGGUGGACACAGCCAUGUGGACCAAAAGGCAGAUUCCCGGGCUUCGCCAGUUCCGGAGGUCUCCUUUGGAAGCCCUGGCGGGGAGGGGCUUGAGGAGCCGGGGCUGAUGCCUGGUCUCUGGCCUCUCCGUGGAGACCCCUGACUCUGGAGCCCGGUGGGGGGGAACCUCCAUGAACCAUAACUCAUCUGGACAGCCCCCCACCUUGCUGACCUUGCUGGAAUGAUGCUAAGUGCCAUCCAGGGUGGCCCUUGUUAGUAUUUCGAUAAGCACAACAUUCUGAGUCAUCACAGCUGCUCUGAAAGCCAGGCCUGGAAAAUUUACGCAAGGGGCAGGAAAAAAAAAAAAAAAAAGGAAAUAAACAAACAUGAAAAGAGAGGGGAAAAAUGUUUUUAGAAAGGGCUGGAACUAAUUUGGGGGUUAAACCCAGCUGCCCACACAGCUUCGUUUCGACUUUUCAAGCGUUAUUCUAUAUGAUUUAUUUCCUGCAAAAGCCUUUGACAGCUAUUGUGUAAAUGGUUUCCAUUUAUUCUGGAAAGGCCUCUUCUGCUCUGGGGAGGUCUGACCAGGCCCCUGUUAAGUCAGAACAACAACCACCGGUUUUGAUUUGGGAAAACAAAACCCACCAAAAGACAGGAGAGCAAAAGAAAUGCUGGGUCCAGAAGGAACCUGCAGACAAUCCGGAAUGAGUCACGCAGCGCCUCUGGCCCUCGGAGAGAUCUAGGUUUGAGUCCUGCUGUGUGUCCUUGGGCAAAUUACUUAACCUUGCUGAGCCCUGCUUGCCUCACCUGCAAAACGGGGACAGUAGAUGGACCACCUCACAGGCAAGUUAUGAGCAUUAACUGAGACCGGCCGUGGUACAUUGUAAACACUUAGCAACGAUGGCAGGUCUCAUAAGACAGAAACACUGAGAACAGAAAAGGACUUUGUCUCCCUGUCUGCUACCCGGACCAUCCUGCAAAGGCUCCGACAGCUUUGGACGUGAAGGUCUCAGGCCAUGGAGGAGACGGGUGCAGCUGCAGAAAGGUUACGAGAGCCUGGGAUCGCACUCAGCCAUGGUCAAAGCCUGGUUAUCUUUGGAAUCUAAAAGCAUCCUUCCGUCUGCAAGGAAAGAGCCCCUCCUUGAGAAAAAAGUGGUUUGCAAACCUCACAACUGAGUCCUUCUUUUGUUGCCAAGACCCAAAGAAAAUCGUGAUGAAGCCAAUUCUGCGAAGCUGGAUGGAGGGAGAGAGAAGGUUCUGGAGCUCAUAUUGAGGGACUUCUGGAAAUGAGCAGGCGCAGGUUUCUUGGCAGCCUUGAAGAGGGCGUGGAUUUUGCCACGAGUGGGAGGAGGGGGCUGCAGGAGGCAGGGUCCAGAGAGCCUGGCAGGCUCUGCUCCAUGGGGCAGUGGGAUGCGACCCGCCUGGAACCCCUGGACUCGGCCCAGAGCAGUGGGGCUGCCAGGCUGGCCCAGGACAUCCACACGAGCCCACGCCCCCCGGCCCGGCCAAAGCCCCUGCAGGUCACAGCACAGGAAAGGGCCGUGGCCACCUGGGAUGCUCGUCAGCACAUCUGCAGCCCGAGCAGGAGGAAGAGAGAGGUCGGGGGCUGGAGGCCAAGAAAGAAUUCGAGGCCAGUGUGGCCGGAGCCAAGCAGGGAGCAGGCGGGGAGCAGGUGGGGGCCGGGGGGGCCAGGCGGGGCAGCACAGGCGGGCCCUGGGCUCUGAGCACACAGGCAGCAGGCCAGAGGCAGCACAGCGACCCUGACCGGGCCUCCGAGAGCCAGGGUUCCAGGCAGGACACAGAGUGCUCACCCUUGGCUGUGACCUUGGCUGCCUCCCAUUGGGAAGGGCCGGCGGGGAGGGGGCGCUGCCAGGGCAGCUGGGGUGACCUAAGAAUCUGGGGAGGCAGCCCGUGGUUCCGGCCUCUCAGCUGUGGCGUCCACUCUGGCGCAAAGCCAGGCUUAGCACAGGCCUGGAGGGGCCUCAGGAUGGGGCUACUCCAAGUUCCAAGAACCUUCCAGACGCAGAGCCUGAGACAAGGAUUGAAUACGAACAGCGUGUUGGCUGGGGGCACCUGUGGCCAGAACAAGCCCUCGGACGGGCACUACAGCACCCCCGCCAGCUGCGACGUUCCGCAAACACCCGGCACCUCUGACCUCAGGGCCUUUGCACCGGCCGCUGCCUUUGCCCGGAAAUCUCUUCUCCAGAAAUGCCCGUAGGAAAAUGUGAGCCCCAAGAGGGAAGUUUGUUGGGCGUGAUCAGCGAGAUAUUUCCAGCGCACAGAAGACUGCGUGGCACUUAGUAAAUGUUUAUCCAUUAGGAAAUGACUGAAAGUGAUCUAAAACAAUCCUAAAUGGAAUUGAUGGUUUCUGAUGCACCUGGAGAUAAGAUUCUAGGCCUUUACACCCACAGAGAGCGUUUCCUCUGAAGGAAACUGGGAAAGCAUCAUACAGAUGCCCAAGCCGGGGGCGUGGGGGAGGGGGUGCGGGGUUCCCGAUGCUUAUCUGUGGCUGCCUGUGUCCUCGGAGCCCCUGGUAAUGGCCGAGGUUGUCCCCAGAGGAGGCGCGGCCCAGAACCAGGACAGUGGUACUUCUUCACUUUAGAAAAGCGUCUGUGCGUAACUCCAGCAAACAAAAAUAACGCUGUGCUUUUGCCUUCAUUAAAGCAGAUCUGCCCAAAGACCACCCUAGGGACUCAGGGACAGCUUGAAAUCCACCCACUUGGAGUGUGAGGGGUCUUGGGACAGGGACGUAUAUGAAAUCUGAAGAGCUGAGUCCAGAGCUUUUCAAACAGCGACUGCACACCUGCCAGCGGUGGGUCACCUUAAACUCAGGAGUCUGAUGCAGGACGUCUGGGCUGGAGCCAGAGGCUCUGCACUUGUCAAGAGCUGCCAGGGAUGCUGAGGCUGCUGGGCCACAGCCAGGACUUUGGGCAAGCAGACAGCGCGUUGGGGGAAUGUCUCCCCUCUCUGCCCGAGUCAGGGGGAAUUUGAUCGUCUUGCCUGGGGUUUCCACCAGCUCAGCAGUGGUGAGGACUAGGAGGGAGGCAGCAGAGGGAGGGACUGAGGCAGCCUCGCAGAUACACAGGCCCAUGUGUCUGAGUUAGGGUACAGGGCAUGCUGCUGUGACAAAGGGGCCCCUCACAUGCUGGCUUAAAUAUAGACAUUUCUCUCACAGUCCAGAGGAAGGUGACUGCUAGUAGAGCAGCUUUUAAGCUUCAACACGUGGUUUUUGUCUCUGGAUGCAAAGUGGUUGCUGCAGCCCCUGCCAUCAUAUCCACAUCCCACAUAGUGGGAAGGAGGAACGAGCAAAGGGAGUCUGUGCCCGUUCUUUUUAAGGGCAGAGCAUGGCAAUGGUACACACCGCGUCUGCUCACACUGUUGGCCAGACACGGUCAUUUCUAGCUGCAAAGGAGCCUGGGAAAUGAGCAGUCUUAAGCCCAGUGAAAGUUGAGGCUUUUCAUCAUCAAAGGUAGAAAGGGGAUGGAUGCCGGGGGCAUCUACAGGAAGAGAAGCUAUUAUGUGAAACCCCUAGGCUUGAAGUUGAAUCACAGUCCAACAACUUUAGCAGGCAGAGGCUGCCUGCCCCACUUAUGUGGGUACAGAGUGUGUGGUCAGUGGCAUAAUGCCCCCAAAAUGUGCCUAUGUCGUCUUACACAACAGAAGGGACUUUGCAGCUGUGAUGAAGAGAGGGGAGGUUACCUUGGUUUAUCCCAAGGGCCCAGCAUCAUCGCAAGGGUCCCCGUAAGAGGGAAGCAGGAGGUUCAGCAUCAGGAAGAGGAGACCUGACGACAGAGGCGGAGCGCGGAGGGAUGUGCCUUGAAGGCGGAGGAUGGGCACUGCCCAAGGAGGCGGGCGCCGUGGGAAGCUGGCAAAGGCCAGGAAAUGGAUUCUCCCCUGGCUCCUCCUCCUGCCAGAAGGAGCAGCUCUGCCCCACCUGAGGCUGGCCUGUGAGACCCGUGUAGGUCUUCGGGCCUCCAGCACAGCGAGGAACGCAUUUCAGUCGUUUCCCGGUGUCACGUCUGUGACCGUCGGUCCCAGCAGCCUGGGA